GUGCUCACUUCAGCAGCACAUAUACUAAAAUUUGAACAAUACAGAGAUUAGCUUGGCCCCUACACAAGGAUGACACAUUAAAAAAAAAAAAGACAAAUGAACAU